CCUACGGGAGGCAGCAGUAGGGAAUCUUCCACAAUGGACGAAAGUCUGAUGGAGCAACGCCGCGUGAGCGAAGAAGGUUUUCGGAUCGUAAAGCUCUGUUGUGAGGGAAGAACACGUGCGGGAGUAACUGCCCGCGCAUUGACGGUACCUCAUUAGAAAGCCACGGCUAACUACGUGCCAGCAGCCGCGGUAAU
rnacentral:rRNA from 1 species